UGUUGCUGCUAUUGUUAGUUGUGCUUGUGUUUGCAUUUGUUGUUGUUGUUGCUGCUGCUCAGUUUGAUUUGUGAUUUUCACAUUUCAUUAAUGGACGGGGCAACACAAAAACAACUUCGAUUUUUAGUUAAUUCUUGGCUCUCGCAUGGAGUAGAAGUGUUGUGUGGAUGGAUACUCGUCGUCUCGCGGUCUUCUUUUGGUUUCUGCUUCUGCUUCUUCUUCUUUGUGUUAUUGUGUGAUUAUCGCCGUCGUUGCCGUUUUACAACAAAAAGAAAAAAUAGUUUGGUUUGUGUGCUCAUUUGUUGUUUGCUCGCUCGUUCGCUCAUUGAAUAUCUUCGGUUGGUGUGUUGGCUGCAGACCAAGAAAGAAAAAUAAAGAGCAAAAGUAAAUUAAACAAAAAAAGACCAAGAAAAAUCAUGAUGAUGGUGAUCAUGAUUGGUAUGGCCGACCAUGCUACUCAGAGUAAAUAGAGAAGAGAUAGAGAGAUAGUGAGAGGGGAAAAUUGUAAGUGCCUGAGAUUGCUUGCUUAUUGUGGUAGUGGAGCUAAGCUCUGCUCUUUUUUUUUGUCAGCCGUUCUCCCCACCAAUACUUAUCGACAACGGUAACAGCAGCAGCAGCAACAACAACAACAAUACUCAUUUAUCCGUAAAUAAAAAUAGGAAGAAGAAGACUGCAGUGCAAUUGUAUCUAACUAAAAUUUUAAAUAAAACUCAGCAGAGUGGCUGACGAACGGAUUCGAUUUUUUUUUGUAUUGAGAAGUUUAAAAAAAUGCCGAUACGAAGAUGUUGGCAAAACAUAAGUGAAAUAAAAACAAAAGCAUGAGUAAUGGAAUGUAAAUGAAUUAUGGAAUGAGAAAUAAAACGUGAUUUAAUAAAAAAUAAAGAAACAAACAAAAACACGUGUGAUAAAAGAGCAACAAAAAAAGGAACUGAGAAAAAAUAUUUGUUUGUGUUUUAGAAAAAGUAGAAGAAAAACAAAGUAAACAAAAAAUAAAAUAAAAAACAGCAAAGCAAAGCCACUGUGAUAACAACAAUUUUCGCUGCAAGAAAUGCCGCCAAAAAAAGAUCCAAACGUCCACAAUAACAGCAACAACAACAGCGAAACAGUAACCCAAUCAACAGAGACCACCACAACAAGUGGCGCUGCCUCCAAUACAACAACAAAUAAUUCUGCCGUUGCUGCUGCCACCGCCAACUCCCCCAAUAUGUCGGAAAAUACGGCAGCCGAGCAGCGUACCGUUGCCUUCCAUGCCAAUGCCAAACUAUGCCGUUUGGUACGCAAAUGUCCCUGGAUGUACGAUCGCAACCAUCAAAAUUAUGCCAAGAAACAUAUUUUGGACAAGUCAUGGUGUAAAAUUGCCCGGGAAUGUAAUGAUUCGGUUGCCUCCUGCAAGGAGCGAUGGCGCAACAUUCGUGCCGCCUUUGCCCGUUCCAUAAAUAUUUACAAAACUCACAGUGGUCCGAAUCGCAUCAAACCCUACUAUCUACACAAGGAGCUUUCGUUUCUGGUCAAACCAAUGAUGGAGGGUCGCGACAAGUCGGAAGAGACCCAUGACAUUUCGGAGAACAGUGUGCAAAAGGAAGAAUUCACCGAGGGCGAAGAGGAAGAAGAUGAUGUCGACUUUGAAGAUGAUGAUCAACAGCCAGAUGCGGAUUACGACGAUGGCCUGCAGGACAAUAGCAGCAUUGAUAUAAAAUCUGCCUUUGAGGCCCUAAAUCCCGACAUAACCAUACAAACUGAGGGUAAAUUGCACAAGACGCUGAAGGACUAUCAGAACAGUCAAAAACGUGAAAACCAACACCACCACCUCAAUGGCAAUGAUUAUGACAAUAAUUCGGGAAUAUAUGAAAGUCAUGGUGACUUCUCGACCAGUGAUGCUGAACAUGAGUUCCAUGAUGGUCGAUUUGAUGAUACAAUGUCUCAGACAACUGAAACUGAUCGCCGACUGAUGUCGAAUCAUCAUGGCAAUCCAUUGAAACGGCCCAUGCAUUUGGAAACGGAGACGUAUGAAAUGAAGAGAUUAAAAUUCAAUUCAAUACCCUUGGGGACAAGUGAGGCAGAUUUGCGUUUCCUCGAGGCUUUGUUGCCCGACAUGGCUUUGAUGAACACCCGGCAGAAAAUUAUAUUCAAAAGGAAAAUUUAUCAAACCCUGGAGGAGGUGUUUGAAAAUGUCAAUGAUUUUCCAAAUCUCAACAGUGAUAUGCAGCAGCAUCAGCAGCAGAAUGCUAGUGGUAUAUCCAUCGCCAGGCAAGGUGGUGGUGGCAUGGGAGGAGGAUCACUAACAACGACCAUUAUGAAUAAUGGCGGAGGGCACAAUUUAAAUAAUUCCAACUCCAGCACCACCACUACCACCAUGCAGGGCGGGUCCCAGGUCAAGCAAACGGUGUUGACAGUCAACUCCUCGACGGCUCGAAAUCUGAUCAACAACAUUGCCAAUUUGAAUGAGGCCGAGUUGCAAAAGGUCAACGGUUUUCUGCAGUCCUCAUUGCGUAGCGUCAACAUAAGUGUGAAUUCCAAUCACAACAACAAUGCCAACAACAGCAACAAUAACACUCUCAACCACAAUACAACAAAUAUUACCACCACACGUCUGAGUAAUGGCACCUCAGCCACCAUAAUACCGGCCAGUAGUGCAGCCGCCCGUCUCCUGCAGUCCACACCGAAAAUCACCAUAACUAAGGUGACAUGUCCACCACCGGCAUCGCUGCGUAACAUGACCAUGGUGAAUAAGGCAACAUCACCCAAUACCGGUACCGUUUCAACGACCAUACAUCAUAACCCGGCGGCACCCAUUAUGACAUCGAAUGUUCACUCAACCACAUCUUCCAGUACACCAGCCGGGGGCGCCGCCCAGCUGAAUGGCGGCCAACAACAAAAUGCAUCGACCACAGUCACCAGUAUCACUACCACCAACGGCACCACCACACCAUCAACCUCCUCGGGAUCAUGGACUCAAAUAAUGCCAAUUGCCAUUAAAGAUGAAAUCGAAGAUGUGGACAUCGAUUGACCCAAAUUGCAGCAGGUCAAGGCAGGGGGGAAGGCCGGCGAUAUGCCAGAAGAUGAUGGAUUAAGUUUAGAAACGUCACCACCACCACGUAUAUUUGUAAAAAAGAUAGGUUAUCUUAAGUGAUGUGUUAGGAAAGGGUUUUUCUGUGGAUUUUAAAUUUUAAAAAAUAGUUUUAGUUAAAAUUUCCAAUUUCCAGAACCAUAACCAAGUGACCUUAUAUUGGAGAGAUUUAGUGAGCAUAGCUUUUUACGAAAGUCCUUUUAGAGCCUAAUAUGUAUAGCUGUAAUAUAGAAGCCUUCGAAGGUUUUUUUGGCCAGAAAAAUAUAUAAAGUUCCUCAAAACAUGGAGAACCUGAUAAAAAUCUUCUCUGUGGGUGAAGGCCAUUUUAGAGGUCUUCAGGAUACAGGAUGUCUUUUUUGAGGUUUUCUAUAUUCAAGAUAAUUUCUAGAAAUCAUGAUAAGGCCUCUAAAAAUUACGGACUCUUAUAAAGAUAUCCAGCAUAUAAAUAAAGGCUUCCAUUACACAGAAAAAACUCAUAGGGGCUUCUAAACAAACAAUACCGUUCAGAGUUCUCCUAGGCAUAAAGUACAUCGAAGAGGCUUUCUGGAGAUUGAAUAACAUCCCCAAAUAUGCUAGAUUUAGAAAAUGUUCUAGACACCUUCUAUAUUCUGAAAACUUUCUAAAUGCUUUCUUUGACCUUUGCCGAUGACCCUCUAGAACAUCUAAACGCUUUCCAUUCUUAGAAUACUUUCCAGAUGACUUUUAGUUAAAGAAACCUUUAAGACAAAGAAAGGAAUGCUCUCCUCGCAUAAACUUUCUAUACAUGUAGAAGUCUUCUAGAUGUACUUGUUAGACAUAAAAUACCUGGUAUAUGUUUAGAAGACAUUCUAUUCCCAGAAGAUCUGUGGUGGUCUCCUGUACCCUAAAAACUUUUUAGAGGCAUUUUGUUCAGAGGAAGUCCUUUAGAGAUCUUCUAGACAUUCUGUGCACCGAACAUAUAUUAGAGGAAUUCUAGAUAAAGAAGACUUUGCAGAAGCUUUCUAAAGGAAGUAGACCAUCUACAUGUAUUGUCGAGUUAGAGGACAUUUUAGACAUAUUUUUCCCAGGAAACCUUUUAUGGACCUUCUAUGUCUAGAAGACCUUCUUAAGGCCUUCCAUGCUAAGAAGACUCUCUAGAAUUUCUAAAAGCCUCAUAUUUCUAAAAUAACUUCUCAAGAACUUAGAGUUCCUCUACUCGGGAUCUUUUGUACCAUGAAUAGCCUUGAACCCCAAAAUACAUAACACAUUCUUUCCACACUUCGAUAAAGUUGUAGAAGUCUUCCAGAGAAAACCAUCUACAUGCAUUGUAGAUUUAGAAAAUCUUUUAGACAUAUUUUUUCCCCAAUGAGACUUUCUAUGGGCCUUCUAUGCCUAGAAGACCUUUUUAAAGCCUUCCAUACCAAGAAAACCAUCUAGAACUUCUAAAAGCCUUCUAUUUCUAGAAUAACUUCUCAAGAACUCGAAGAAGCUCUUCUUAGGAUCUUUUGGAUCAUGAAUAGCAUUGAAAUUUAAAUACAUAACACAUUUUUUCCACACUUUGAAGAACUUGUAUAAGACACCAUCUAAAUGCUUUCUCUGUCCAAAAUAUUCUCCAGAGGCAUACUAUACACCAAAGAAAUUCUACAGACCUUCUCUGUCGAGAAGACCUUCAAGAGGCCUUUUAAAUAGAAGAGCUCUUCUGGGCAUUUCGACACUUCUGGGAGCAUUCAGGACACAGAAUUCUCUGCAGAGGCUGACUAUUCAUAAAAUAACUCGAAGAGACUUCUUUAUAUAGAAAAUCUUCUAGAUGUAGACCAGGCAUGGAAGAUCUUUUAACUGUGUGUAGACCAGGCAUGGAAGACCUUUUAACUGUGAUCUAUAUUUAGAAGGCCUUUUAAAGGUAUUCUUUACACAGAGAACCUUCUAGAGACCUUCUAUUCCCAGAAGAGCUUCUAGGGGUCUCCUAUACUGUAAAUAACUUCUAGAGGUCUUCUAUAACAAGAAGACCUUUAAGAGGCCUUUUGGUUAGAGGAGAACUUCUAGAGAUCUUUUGGAAAAUAAAGAGCUGCUUAGGCAUUCUCGACACAGAAUAAUUUUGCUAGAUUACCGUGUUGAAUUCUUCUAAAUUCCGAAAAACUUCCACAGUUAUUCCAGACAUAGUAAACCUUUCAGACGCGUCCUGUAUUUAGGAAACCGUUUAGAGUUCUUUCUUUAUAUGAAGAAGACCUUCUGGAUGCCUUCUCUGCCAAUAAUACAUUUUAGAAGCCUUUUGAGUGGAGGAUAUCUUCAAAAAUCUGCUUCACAAUUAAGACCUUCAAGGGGUUUUCUGGACAGAGAAACUUCUUUUAGAGACUUUCUGUGGAAUGGAAGAUCUUGCAGAAUUCUUCUAAACCUUGAAAAUCUUUUAAGGGUUCUCUAGGCAUAGAAGGCUUUCAAAGGGUCUUGUCUGACCUUCUAGGGGUUUCCUAUAUACCAAAAACUUCUAGAGAACUUGUUUGCCGAAAAAAACCUUCCUGAGUCUUGUUAGUCAAGGGAGUUCUUCUUCAGCCAUUUUGAUCACAGAAUAUCUCUUGGAGAGUUUCUACAAAUUGAAGACCUCUUCUGGGGUUCCUCUAGUUAUAGAUGCUUUCCAAAGAUUUUCUUUGCACAGAUGAUCUUUUCAAAUGAUGGAAUUCUUUUAUAUCGUGAGAGGAUCUUAGAAAGAUCUUCUAUGCAAUGAAGAAUUUCUGUGGAAUGGAAGAUCUUGUAUAAUCCUUCUAAACCUUAAAAACCUUCUAGGGGUUCUCUAGCCAUAGGAGGCCAGAAAAACUUCUAGAGGAGCUCUGGCCAAAAAAACUUCUAGAGGUUUGAGGUGUUCUUCUACAAAUCUGCUGGAUUAUGAAGACCUUGUAGGGGCAUUUUGGGCACAGAAUACCUCUUAGAAAUUUUCUAUUAAAGACCCCUUCUGGGGUCUAUAGUUGGCUUUCCAAAGAUGUUUCUUUGGUUUUGGCUUUCCAAGGUCACAAGAAUAGUUUAUUAACAUAUCCCCUUCUUCAAAUUUAUAUAAUUAGUCAGUUCAAUAGUUAUUUACAAAGAGAUAUCCCCCUUCUUUCCUUGGGAAUUUCCUCAAAGUAAAAAUCUCAAAAAAAAAAAGAGGUCUUCGAAUAUCCAUUUUCUCCGGUUAAUAUUUUUUCAAUGGGAAAAAUAAACCAAUUCCCUAAUGCUGACAAAAAUACCAGACAGAAUGUCAUUUAGAUGAAAAAAAUUCCUUUUUGUAACAACUUGGUCUUAGUUUUGUCUUUCCAAGGUCACAAUAAUAGUUUAUUAACAUAUCCCCUUCUUCAAAUUUAUAUAAUCACUCAAUUCAAUAUUUAUUUACAAAGAUUUAUCACUCUUCUUUCCUUGGGAAUUCCCUCAAAGUAUAAAUCUCAAAUGGUGAAUAUUUCCGGUGAAAAUUUUUUCAAUGGGAAAAAUAAAACAAUUCCCCAAUGCUGACAAUAAUACCAGGCAGUCGGAGACAUAACACCCUCUAAUCAUCCCUUCGCCUUUACCUUUAGUUUAAGUCUUUUUUUAUUUGGCUUUUAAGUUUUAAUUAGGGUUUAAGUUUUAAUUUUAACUUAAUUUUCAUUUUAUUUUUCUCUUUUUUUAUUAAACUGCAUGAAAGGUUUACAGACUUGCAGCAAUUUACAAACAACUCCAACAACUUUACAAAAGUACUUGUUACCCCAAAUAUUUAUACGAUAACCCAUAAAACUCCCUAUUAUUCUUUGCUUCUAAUCUGUAAUAUCCCCUUUUUCUAAAAAAGGGUUUCAUUUCAUUUAAAAUUAGUUUGCCUUUUUUAAUGUAAAUCUUUACUUUUAUAUUCAUUGUGUUUUUAAAUUUUAUAUUUAUCUCUCUUUUAAUUUUAAUUUAGUUUUUUUUUUAAUUUGUUUAUGUUUUAUUUAAACGAUUUCUUUUUGUAAGAUUUAAGUUUUACUAUUCUUAGAGUUUACAAUAUUUAAAUUGUAGCUCUAGAUCUUUUUGUCCAACCAAUCCAAAUACAACAUUGUUUUGUUAAGUACUUAAUUUGUAAGUAAAUUUAU